UGCAAUCAAAGGCAACUUAUGCAUUUCUGUUAAAUAUGGUUCACAAUUAAAAUAUAAAUAUAUGAGGUUAAAAAUCAUAUGAUUGAAAUGUUUCAUGGUCAAUAAAUAAUAAUUUCAUGAUUAUUUCUUUUGUUAAAAUCUGUGAGGAAAAGGGUGGAACUUAUUUUUUGUUCCGUGCGGAAAUCAUAAUUUGUUGCUAUAGGGACGCUUUAUGGGUACACUCGCAAAGAUCUAGAUGAGAGAAAUGUGCUGCGGUUUUCUGAAAAGCCAUGGAAGAUUAUAAAGAUAAUUUAUAAGUUUUAUUGUUGAGGAUUGAAGACGAAUACCCUUCUAAGUUUACCCUCUCGAGUGCAUGUGGCCAAUGAGUUCUGACGGCAAUUUGGAAAUGCAACAAGUGAACAUGUAAAGACAUGUCCGUCAUGGAAUAAAUAUGCCCGUGAAAAUCCA